CACGUAGGGGGCGAGCGUUGUCCGGAUUUAUUGGGCGUAAAGAGCUCGUAGGCGGUUCUGUAAGUCGGGUGUGAAAACUCUGGGCUCAACCCGGAGACGCCACUCGAUACUGCGGUGACUGGAGUCCGGUAGGGGAGUGCGGAAUUCCUGGUGUAGCGGUGAAAUGCGCAGAUAUCAGGAGGAACACCGACGGCGAAGGCAGCACUCUGGGCCGGUACUGACGCUGAGGAGCGAAAGCGUGGGGAGCGAACAGG
rnacentral:rRNA from 1 species